rnacentral:rRNA from 1 species
AAGAGACAGCAGUAGCCGCGGUAAUACGUAGGGUGCGAGCGUUAAUCGGAAUUACUGGGCGUAAAGCGUGCGCAGGCGGUUGUACAAGACAGAUGUGAAAUCCCCGGGCUUAACCUGGGAAUGGCAUUUGUGACUGUACGGCUAGAGUGUGUCAGAGGGGGGUAGAAUUCCACGUGUAGCAGUGAAAUGCGUAGAUAUGUGGAGGAAUACCGAUGGCGAAGGCAGCCCCCUGGGAUAACACUGACGCUCAUGCACGAAAGCGUGGGGAGCAAACAGGAUUAGAUACCCCUGUAGUCCCUGUCUCUUAUAC